rnacentral:rRNA from 1 species
UGGGGAAUUUUGGACAAUGGGCGCAAGCCUGAUCCAGCCAUGCCGCGUGCGGGAAGAAGGCCUUCGGGUUGUAAACCGCUUUUGUCAGGGAAGAAAUCUUCUGAGUUAAUACCUCGGGAGGAUGACGGUACCUGAAGAAUAAGCACCGGCUAACUACGUGCCAGCAGCCGCGGUAAUACGUAGGGUGCAAGCGUUAAUCGGAAUUACUGGGCGUAAAGCGUGCGCAGGCGGUUUUGUAAGACAGAGGUGAAAUCCCCGGGCUCAACCUGGGAACUGCCUUUGUGACUGCAAGGCUUGAGUGCGGCAGAGGGGGAUGGAAUUCCGCGUGUAGCAGUGAAAUGCGUAGAUAUGCGGAGGAACACC